GACCGGGACAUGGAUCAAAGUAUGGCAAGGGGCGUAACAUUUCCGUCACAUGGUUGAGGUAUUGAGCCAAUCACAAAGCUCUGGAUAGCUGGCCAAUCAGAGCACACCUCGCUUUUCAGGCCGAUGAGCUUUCUAAAAAAUGACACGUUUCAGAAAGGCAGGGCAUAGAGGAGAAACAAUAAUGUACAGUAUGUGGAAAAUAAUGUGUUUUUUGAACCUUAAACCACAUAAACACAUUUCAUUACACCAAAUACACAAAAUAAUGUUCUUUUUAGCAACAUCAUAUGACCCCUUUAAGUAUUAUUCCUAUAUCGUAUUAAGUAUUAACGAGUUUCAACUAACAAUACCAAUAAUCAACAACAUACAAUAACAGUACACACCAAUAAUAAAUACAUGAAGGGGCUUAAUGGAGACUAAAUAAACAAUAAAACAAAUGAACACACAUUAGUUAACCUUGUUUAGUAUUUUUACAGCAAAUGUCACAGUUUGUAGUGUUUAAACGAGUGGUGUGAAAUGUGUGAAAAUGUUCAUAUAGUGUUGCAAACAAACCAUAACUACAGUGUGAACUUCCUUUAAAUAGGGUUGGGGGGGAGGGGGGAGGGGGGGAGGGGGUAGAUGCCACUCAACCUAAUGUUGACACACAGUUCUGUUGACCCUAAAACUUCCUUUCUGCAUAUAGCUUCUCUGUCAAAGCUUGUCCCACACAGCACUGGAUGAGAUUAACAAUGUAGCAGAUUCUCUUGGAAGGAAACCGGUAUGAAGUCCCCAAGAACCAGGUGUGACAGCCAAUGGCACUGGAACAAGUUUGACAGACAAAAGAUUUUGUGGAGACAUUUGCACCUCCAAAUACCAAGAGUCUUGCACACUGAGAAUCUUGUUUUUUCCCCUCUGCGGUAUGGAAGAACCAGGUGUGACAGCUAAUGGCACUGGAACAAGUUUGACAGACAAAAGAUUUUGUGGAAACUUUUUCACCUCCAAAUACUAAGAAUCUUGCACACUACUUCAAACUAACUUUCCAUCAAAAAAGAUUGCAUACUGCUAGAGAUUGACAGUAAGUCUCUGUACUCUGUGAAUGGAGUCCUGUGAAGUCCCACCUCACCCAAAACCUUCUCUUUUGAGUAUGGCAUAUGGGGUAAUGUCAUUAAAGAAUGGGAUGACUGGCGAAAGAGAAAAGUGAACAGAUCAAGGUGCUGAUCAGGAGGGGUGUCCCUGCUCACCUGUGGCCUGUUGUGUGGCAGCUGUUGUGUGACACUCAGAAUGUUGUUGUGUGGCAGAAAUACUCAGAUCUACUGAAGAGCUUGUGUCCAUCUGAAAAGCUGAUACUCAGAGACCUGACACGUAUCCUCCCUCAACACCAGCUCUUUCACAACAAGGUUGCUACGUGCCAGAAAUCACUGUUUAAUGUGCUGAAGGUUAGAUGACAGAGAAUCUCUAUCUGUGAUCAUACAGAAAAAAAUAAGAAUAAUGCAUUUUAGGAGUAUACAAAACACAACGUGGCUUUAUUUGCAGGCUUACUCAAUCUUAGACCGAGACAUUGGCUACUGUCAGGGAAGUGUGUUUAUUGUAGGUCUAUUGCAGGUAAUGAAUUGCUUUUUUAAUUGAAAUUAUAGUUACAAAGUAUAGUAGCUAGUACUGGUCAAUGAAUUGAGAUGACCACCUUUUAGAUGGCUGAAGAGGAGGCCUUCUACAUUUUUUUUGAGGCUAAUGAAGGACUUCGGAAUGAGGGAUCUGUAUAGAUCUAAUAUGGUUGAACUCAGCUGCUGCAUUUACCAGUCUGAUGCUAUGAUUAAGGUAAACAAUUAUAAUUCUGCUCUAUUUAAAAGCACAUGGAUUAUUUAUAAAAUGUCCUUUCCAAAAACCCUAAGCUGAGUAAGCCACAUAAAGCCUGUUACAAAUGAUCUGCUGAAGUAUCUUUCUAUUUCCUGGUAAAUGUCAGAUUUCUGAGAAUUGCACAUUUGACAAGAACUUUGUUGUUUGUAAGUAAGAACUUUGGUGUUUUGUAAGAAGGGGAUAGUGGGGUAAAGCUAUGUCACUUUUAUUUACCUACUGUAUGUUUUCCUCUAAGCAAUGAGGAAUUAGAAGAAACUUGUCUAAAAGAUGUCUAAUUCAUAAAUUUAAUAUAUAAUAUAAAAAUAAUAAAUUUUCAGCAGUCAUUACUCGUCUUCGAUGCCACAUAAUCCUUCUGAAGGAUUAUUCUAAUAUUCUGAUUAAGUACUAAAAAAAAAAAACAUUUCGUAUUAUUAUCAAUGUUUAAAACAUUUGUGCUGCUUAAUAUUUUUCUUGAAACUGUGAUCAUUUUUUUUUGAUGAACAGAAAAUUUAAAACAAUGCUCCAGUUACUUAUGUAACCUUGGUUCCCUGAGAUGAGGGUAUAAGCAUUGCGUAUACACGCUUAUGGAAAAACUCUGAUACUUUAGCUCUUUACUCUGAUACUGAAGCCUGAUUUUUUCACAUUCAUGUACCUGCACAAACAAAUGGUGCUUCAACACGCCUAAAGGGGAGGAGCCACCUACUAUAUAAGUAGGCUUAGAGCACCAUUCUUCAGAAUUUUCUUCUGUCAGCGACAGCCAUCAGCUUAUGUGCAGACUUAUAGCAUACCAGCUUACGCAAUGUUUGUUUCUUUAUCUCAGUGAACCAAGGUUACAUUAGUAACCGGAGCAUUUCCUUUUGAACGGUCUCUCCUGUUGCACAUACAUGCUUAUGGGGAACGCAUCCAAUAGUGCCGUGCUAUAAGUAAAUUCAAACCUAAGUCACUCUGUGCACAUCCAGCCCCGGAGCGCCCGAAACGAGGGCCCCUAAGAAAAGCAUGAGCAAAGAAUGAGCCCCAAGCUAGCCUGCUGGGGACUACAUAGCAAAAUCUUUUCCACUCAAAGAGGAGAUUAGGUGAAUUUAAGUAGACAAGAUCGUGCCUGGAGGGCAGGGACAUCUAAAUUAUAAAACCUUGUAAAGGUUGACGGGGACGACCAGCUGGAAAAGAUGUCAUCAACAUAGAUCCCACUGGACCACGCCCAGGAGGAGGCCAUUCCUUGAGUGGAGUGGGCCCUCACCCCAAUAGUGCAUUUCAAAACCUCUGUGGCAUAAGCCAGGGCUAUAGCAUCGACUGUCCAACGAGAUAGUCAUAACCGGCAGCCCAGUUAGAUGAGAGGAUUAGAGCGGCUUCCGAAGCAUACAAAAAGCUGCUCUGAUUCCCGAAACGGGCCAGAGUGCUCAACGUACACUUUAAGAGCCCUAACUGGGCAGGAUGGAUAAGGGACCCUGCUUGUUCUCUGUAAUAGGAAGAGCUAGAAGAGAAAUAACCUGUGCUCUGAAUGGGGUUGAGAGCACAUAGGCACAUAGCUGUGUCUUGAUUUGAGGAUGACUUUACAGUCAUGGCCACAGCCAUAUCAACCUGCAGCCCAAGACUGGUUGCCUACUGAAGCUAAGCUGGGUUGAGCCUGGUCAUUAACUGGAUGGGAGACCUCCUGGGAAAACUAGGUUGCUGUUGGAAGAGGUGUUAGUGAGGCCAGCAGGGGGUGCUCACCCUGUAGUCUGUGUGGGUCCUAACGCCUCAGUAUAGGCACCGUUGUCCUGUGGCUGCUGUCAGCACACUGGUGGUGGUUGAGGAGAGACCCCCCCCCCCCCCCCCCGCCCAACAUGAUUGUAAAGCGGUUUUGGUAAAAGGAGGUAAAAGGAGCGUGACCUGAAACCGCCUUAGUGAUUUAUGAAGGCUACCACUGUGAUGUUGUCCAAGUGGACCAGGUUGGUAGGAAGGCUUUCAGGGCCAGAGAAACUGCCAUCAUUUCAAGGCAGCUGAUGUGCAAGUGUUGCUCCAAGUGUAACCAGGAGCCAAACACUGGUCUGCCCUAGUACAGUGCUUCCCAACCUGUGUUGGCGGCAUCUGUCUUUACUACCUUCCUCCUGGAGGUCAGCCCCAACGGGAUGCCUGAAUGAAACAGGCGAGAAUUGCUCCAAGGGUCCAGAGCUUUGAUGCAGUGGUGGGUUACUCUUAGAUGAAGAUGCCCCAGGCGUGGGACACUUUGAGCCAAAAUUGAAGGGGCCACAUGCAGAGCAGGCCCAGAGGAAUUACAGAGGAAGCGAUCGACAUAAGGGCGAGCAUCCUCUGAAAAUCUCUGAGGGGAUGCAAAGUCCCUCAUUUGAAUGACACUGCUAGUCGCUGAACCAUCAGAGAGCAUUCUGGUGAAUCAAUCACUGUCCCCCAUGAUUUGCUGGCUGGGAGACAAAGAGCUUUUGGCUAAAUAGAUUUUUAGCCCAAGCCGCUCCAGAUGGCUAAGUAGCAGUGACCUGUGAGUGAUAAGUUCCUGUUCUGACCUGGCUAGCAAAGGCCAGUCGUUGAGGUAAUUCAUGAUACAGGUCUGUCUCAGAGGGGAAAGAGCCACGUCAGAGACAGUCCGAAUGGAAGGACUGUAUAUUGAUAGGCCACCCCCUCGAAUGCGAAUCUCAAGAAUGGUCUGUGAUGAGGGGCUAUCUUGAUGUGAAAGUAAGCAUCUUUCAUAUCCACCAAUAAAAAACAGUCCGGAGUACAAAUAUGCAUGAGGAUUUGUUUCAAAGUUAGCAUCUUGAACGGCCAUUUCAUAAGCGUGCAGUUCAGAUGCCUGAGAUCAAGAAUGUGCCUUAGCCCACCAUAAGCAUGUAUACACAACGGGAGAGACAGUUUGAAAGGGAACAGUAUUUAACUAUUAAAUUCUUUAAAAAAAAUCAUAAAAAAUGACUGACCAUUUUUAAUUUCAACUUUUGAACUGAUCCUUUUGAAUUGCAUUGUAUAUAUUAUUUGACCUAAAAAUUUCCUUGGAUAUAAAAUGUUUUUUAAAAAUGCUUACAAAUACUUGCCAUUUUUGGUACAUGGUCACAGGACAAAAACAUUACACAGUUUUGUAGCUAAAGGGGGUGACACAUGUUAUCCCACUCUCACCUAGAGAUCUGUUGUCUGAUAAUAUUUUUUUCUUUCUUAUAAGAUAAGAUAUAGAAAUAACUAGCCAGUGAUAUUUUAGUAUUAUAUAUAGUAUUCUAUUAUAUUAUUUAUUCAUGUUUUGAAUUUGCUUUUAUUUUUAUAUUUUCAGUUUUCAAAUUAGUUUUAGUAAUUUUAUGUUUUGUAUUUUUUAUAUUUGUAUUUAACUUUAUUUUAUUUCAGAUUUAGUUUAACAUGAAUUUUAACAGUUACAAUUUGUAACAGUAACUUUAGUAUUUUAUCUUAUUUAUUUCUAUCAAUUAGAUAGAAAGAUAGCAGAGUUUAGAUUUAAGUUUUCUUUUUUUAAAUGUAAGUUUUUCAUCUAAUAUUUUUUUUUAUUUUCAAUUACAGAAAAGCUUUUAAUAGGUUAAUAAUAAUAACAACACAGCAUAUAAAUAUUAUAGUUUGAUUGACAAUAUCAGUGAUUAAAUUCAUGUAUUUUGUAGGGUUUGGAGAUCGUGUUCCGGGUUGGUUUGGCUAUACUUCAAAUGAAGCCAUAUGAAAGAACUUAUUAAGCUUGAUGUUGAGGGAAUGAUGAAUGUAACGGAGCACCUCAAUGAAACUACAUUUUUGUUUAGUUUUUUUCCCAAUUGCUAGCUUUAAGGAUUUUUAAAUGUUUUUAAAAUUAUGUCUUUGAAAUACUGCCACUUUGAGUGAUUUUGCUGUUUUCAGUGCUUUCAGAAUCUAGACUCAUGGGAUCAGAUCCUGAUUGAAUGACUGAAGCAGCAUAUCUAAUAAAAUACCACCCCAGCAGAAUGAAACAGUAUGUGCUUUUCCAUUUAUUUCUUGUUUCUGUGUUAUACAAUUGUCUAUAUAAACAAAAUGAUUUGUCGGUCUCUUGCCUUAUCUUAAGGGACUUUCCUUAGAGAACAAGCAUUUAAAUUUAUUAAAUUUAUUGCAGUGAUUUAUGUUCAUGUUAAUCAUUUUUUUCUAAAGAUAUGUUCAUGCUCUUACUACCACAUGUGCCGAUCUACCAGAGGUGCUCAGAAAAACUAGUGUCACAGCUGUAGAAAGAUUUGGUGAAAACUCAGCUAGACACAGCCUGGUCACAAAGCACUUUAAAAGCGCAUCUUGCAAAUGGAAGAGGUCAACAUGAAGUCAAAUCUUCCAUGCAAACUUGUUUUAAAUACAUUAAUAUGAAGCAUUAACCGCAGUCUUAAGGCAUUUCCACUCUGAGUGCAAAAAAGCUAAAAGAAUAUUGGAUGCGAAUAUUGGAUACACACUGGAAUAAAACAACAGAUUUCCUAUGGAUGCUUCCACACAGACCACGAACAUUCACACACCGAAAAUGCAUGUUUUUUUUUUUUGAACCAGUCCGACGAAUCUUUUCAGUUUCGCAAAGCGAAAACACGGGGUGUCCAAUAUGAUUUGAGCUAGGAUCACAUGACUGGAGCAGCUGCUGUUGCACAAAAAGGCAAGAGUGGUGAUGCUGUUUCGAAAACCAGUGUAAACAAACACAGAAGAAGCACAUUGUAACAGUCCAUAGUUCUGUUACUAUGGUUUUAGUAGGUUGUAGUACUACUCCUGUCCUCUAGGGACCCUAAGUGGCUCUUCUCCUCUAGGUUAAAUCCUAGUGAGGUAGAGGAAAGAGAGAUCUGUUUGGUGAAGUGGAAGCAUGGUUUUCUCCUCAAGUGUUCAAUGCAAGUCCAGAUUGAGAAAUGUGUUUCAAGCUCAAUCUGGUAAGUGAUUUCCUGUUUAUUAAAGUCUUGUAUUUCUCUAACUAAAAGACUUUAUUCAUGUAUUGUAAUUUUGUUUAGAAUGGUUGCUCUGUGUAAUAUGGGGUUGUUAGCAAGCUAACUCACUUUUUUUUACAUUCUAUUUAGAAGGACUCUUUAGUAUUGGUAGAAUCACUACUAAUAUGUACAAUGGGGAUGUGAGGAGUAUUUCCACUGUAAGACGACUUCACAGAAACCUAUAGUGGAUCUUUUGGGAUUAUUCAUUCCACAACGACUAAGGCCUCAGUUGGGAAGCACAUGGUGGAUGUGGAUCAGGUUGGAUUAUUGUUUAUUGCUCAUUGAAAAAGACAUUGUCAGCAUCAUCAUCGUCAUCAUCCUCUACGUCCUCUACGUUGGGUUUAACGGACAUUCUCCAAAGGACAGUUGAGAUUCUAAAUGGACAAUGGUCGUAUAAGGUUUUUUUUUUUUAUACAAAAAUUCACUUUGGUUAGCUGUGAUUUGUGUCUUUUUGCUUACGGGUUUUGUUGAUAGCACUUUCCAGUUUUCUUUAAAUGAGUAUGCCGAAGUAGUUUGCUUUAUUUUUCCUUGUCUGUUGUUUUCGCCCAUUCUUAAUAUUCAAUAAUAAUCUGGUAUAACUCUUCUAUCUGUGUUGGUACAAACUUUAUUUCUUAUCUUGGUUGACAUUUGAGUGAACAGCAUUUUAGGUGCUUAUAUUAAAUGUGGUUGGUGGGCCCCUCCCUUAAAAAUUAUCAAAAGCUGUGCCUUUUAAGAAGAGGAGGACGGUUACAGAUUGGCGCCCGAACAGGGACCAUCAAACCAGUAAUUUGUCACCUUAAUCUGUAUUCAUGUCGCACAGAGGGGUCAGUCAGACUGCUCAGGAUGGGGAUGAGUAAGUGCCCAGUGAAGACUUUUCAACUGGGUCUUUCACCACCAGAAGAGAACCCCUGAAAGAUCUCAACACUUUCAGUGAUCUAUAUAUUGAUUCAGAUGAGGAAAGUGAGAGAAUUAUGGACAAGGUAAAUGACAUUCCAGAUGAUUCUUAUCCUCUGCCUCCACCUCCACCGGAGAUGGAUCCUGAAUCCAACAACGACCCGUCCAAUUCCGUAACAUCCAUGAUAGAACGCCUGUCUGAAUGGUUCACUUCGCUGGAAGACCAACUAACAGACCUCAGUCAGAGGGUGAGUGAAAAUGUUCCCUUAGAUGAGUUGGAAAACCGAUGUAAACUGAUAAAGGACAGAAUGACUUACUGGGUACAACGAGAGUGUGAUAAAGUAAAGAAACAGCUAGAACUGCUUGUCCAGAAGUUAGGUCAGUCUGUUGUAGACUGCCUGAAGAGAAGGGAUCGUCGAAUAGAUCAAAGAUUUCAAUCUCUGUUGCCAUCUGCAUCCACUCCAGAUCCUAAGUCCACCCUCUCUUUUUUUCAGUCUAAACAAAGAAAUGUUACCUACAGCAUGCAGUCCAGUCACUUAACAAGCCAGGGUAACCAAACCACCAUGCAGUAUAACCCACCAGUAAAACUGGAUUUUCCCAGCUUCAGUAGUACACAAGAGGAUGAUCCUGUUGUUUUUAUAGAACACUGCGAAGAGUAUUUUGCUGUACGUCCCCUUAGUGAGGGAGAAAUCCUUGCUUCACUCUCGGCGGUACUCAAAGGUACGCCCAAGGAUUGGUGGAUGGCAGA